GGGUUGUGAGGUUAAGCGACUAAGCGUACACGGUGGAUGCCCUGGCAGUCAGAGGCGAUGAAGGACGUGCUAAUCUGCGAAAAGCGUCGGUAAGGUGAUAUGAACCGUUAUAACCGGCGAUGUCCGAAUGGGGAAACCCAGUGCAAUUCGUUGCACUAUCGUUAACUGAAUACAUAGGUUAACGAGGCGAACCGGGGGAACUGAAACAUCUAAGUACCCCGAGGAAAAGAAAUCAACCGAGAUUCCCCCAGUAGCGGCGAGCGAACGGGGAGCAGCCCAGAGUCUGAAUCAGCUUGUGUGUUAGUGGAACGGUCUGGAAAGUCCGACGGUACAGGGUGAUAGUCCCGUACACCAAAAUGCACAGGCUGUGAACUCGAAGAGUAGGGCGGGACACGUGGUAUCCUGUCUGAAUAUGGGGGGACCAUCCUCCAAGGCUAAAUACUCCUGACUGACCGAUAGUGAACCAGUACCGUGAGGGAAAGGCGAAAAGAACCCCGGCGAGGGGAGUGAAAAAGAACCUGAAACCGUGUACGUACAAGCAGUGGGAGCACCUUCGGGUGUGACUGCGUACCUUUUGUAUAAUGGGUCAGCGACUUAUAUUCUGUAGCAAGGUUAACCGUAUAGGGGAGCCGCAGGGAAACCGAGUCUUAACUGGGCGUUAAGUUGCAGGGUAUAGACCCGAAACCCGGUGAUCUAGCCAUGGGCAGGUUGAAGGUUGGGUAACACUAACUGGAGGACCGAACCGACUAAUGUUGAAAAAUUAGCGGAUGACUUGUGGCUGGGGGUGAAAGGCCAAUCAAACCGGGAGAUAGCUGGUUCUCCCCGAAAGCUAUUUAGGUAGCGCCUCGUGAAUUCAUCUUCGGGGGUAGAGCACUGUUUCGGCUAGGGGGUCAUCCCGACUUACCAACCCGAUGCAAACUACGAAUACCGAAGAAUGUUAUCACGGGAGACACACGGCGGGUGCUAACGUCCGUCGUGAAGAGGGAAACAACCCAGACCGCCAGCUAAGGUCCCAAAGUCAUGGUUAAGUGGGAAACGAUGUGGGAAGGCACAGACAGCCAGGAUGUUGGCUUAGAAGCAGCCAUCAUUUAAAGAAAGCGUAAUAGCUCACUGGUCGAGUCGGCCUGCGCGGAAGAUGUAACGGGGCUAAACCAUGCACCGAAGCUGCGGCAGCGACACUAUGUGUUGUUGGGUAGGGGAGCGUUCUGUAAGCCUGCGAAGGUGACCUGUGAGGGUUGCUGGAGGUAUCAGAAGUGCGAAUGCUGACAUAAGUAACGAUAAAGCGGGUGAAAAGCCCGCUCGCCGGAAGACCAAGGGUUCCUGUCCAACGUUAAUCGGGGCAGGGUGAGUCGACCCCUAAGGCGAGGCCGAAAGGCGUAGUCGAUGGGAAACAGGUUAAUAUUCCUGUACUUGGUGUUACUGCGAAGGGGGGACGGAGAAGGCUAUGUUAGCCGGGCGACGGUUGUCCCGGUUUAAGCAUGUAGGCUGGUUAUCCAGGCAAAUCCGGAUAAUCAAGGCUGAGGUGUGAUGACGAGGCACUACGGUGCUGAAGUAACAAAUGCCCUGCUUCCAGGAAAAGCCUCUAAGCAUCAGGUAACAUUAAAUCGUACCCCAAACCGACACAGGUGGUCAGGUAGAGAAUACCAAGGCGCUUGAGAGAACUCGGGUGAAGGAACUAGGCAAAAUGGUGCCGUAACUUCGGGAGAAGGCACGCUGGUGUGUAGGUGAAGUCCCUGCGGAUGGAGCUGAGACCAGUCGAAGAUACCAGCUGGCUGCAACUGUUUAUUAAAAACACAGCACUGUGCAAACACGAAAGUGGACGUAUACGGUGUGACGCCUGCCCGGUGCCGGAAGGUUAAUUGAUGGGGUUAUCCGUAAGGAGAAGCUCUUGAUCGAAGCCCCGGUAAACGGCGGCCGUAACUAUAACGGUCCUAAGGUAGCGAAAUUCCUUGUCGGGUAAGUUCCGACCUGCACGAAUGGCGUAAUGAUGGCCAGGCUGUCUCCACCCGAGGCUCAGUGAAAUUGAACUCGCUGUGAAGAUGCAGUGUACCCGCGGCAAGACGGAAAGACCCCGUGAACCUUUACUAUAGCUUGACACUGAACAUUGAGCCUUGAUGUGUAGGAUAGGUGGGAGGCUUUGAAGCGUGGACGCCAGUCUGCGUGGAGCCAACCUUGAAAUACCACCCUUUAAUGUUUGAUGUUCUAACGUUGGCCCCUUACCGGGGUUGCGGACAGUGUCUGGUGGGUAGUUUGACUGGGGCGGUCUCCUCCCAAAGCGUAACGGAGGAGCACGAAGGUUAGCUAAUCCUGGUCGGACAUCAGGAGGUUAGUGCAAUGGCAUAAGCUAGCUUGACUGCGAGCGUGACGGCGCGAGCAGGUGCGAAAGCAGGUCAUAGUGAUCCGGUGGUUCUGAAUGGAAGGGCCAUCGCUCAACGGAUAAAAGGUACUCCGGGGAUAACAGGCUGAUACCGCCCAAGAGUUCAUAUCGACGGCGGUGUUUGGCACCUCGAUGUCGGCUCAUCACAUCCUGGGGCUGAAGUAGGUCCCAAGGGUAUGGCUGUUCGCCAUUUAAAGUGGUACGCGAGCUGGGUUUAGAACGUCGUGAGACAGUUCGGUCCCUAUCUGCCGUGGGCGCUGGAGAAUUGAGGGGGGCUGCUCCUAGUACGAGAGGACCGGAGUGGACGCAUCACUGGUGUUCGGGUUGUCAUGCCAAUGGCACUGCCCGGUAGCUAAAUGCGGAAGAGAUAAGUGCUGAAAGCAUCUAAGCACGAAACUUGCCCCGAGAUGAGUUCUCCCUGAGACUUUAAGUCUCCUGAAGGAACGUUGAAGACGACGACGUUGAUAGGCCGGGUGUGUAAGCGCAGCGAUGCGUUGAGCUAACCGGUACUAAUGAACCGUGAGGCUUAACCUUACAACGCCGAAG
rnacentral:rRNA from 1 species